rnacentral:rRNA from 1 species
CCCUUAGAUGUUCUGGGCUGCACGCGUGCUACACUGAUUCUUUCAACAAGUGUUUUAACUGGAGAGUUCGCGUAAUCCUGAAAUGUUAUCGUGAUGGGAGUAGAGUAUUGUAUUUGUUAAUCUUUAACGAGGAAUUCCUAGUAAGUGUAGGUUUAUAAGUUGUUCUGAUUACGUCCCUGCCCUUUGUACACACCGCCCGUCGCUCCUACCGAUUGAUUGAUCCGGUGAAUUACAUAGAAUUUUGCGUUUUACAUGACGGAAGACGAAGUGUUUUAAACCUUAUCAUUUAGAGGAAGGAGAAGUCGUAACA